UAUUUUGAAAAUCUUAAAAAACUUAGAAGGGUACUUGACUAUUCGAACUCAACGAGAAAAGUUGCAACCCAAUAAGUUAGGGCACUACUUUUCUCGAAGCUUUCAAAUACUAAGCAUUGCCUUUUUUAUUUUUAUAAAACUUUUAAAUAUUGUUUUAAAUGACCUUUUAGAGUGACAAUUCUAUAUUAUGAAACAUAGAUAUUCAAAUAGCGUUUAUUAUAAAGUAUUAUAACACUUUAUAUAAAUGCAAUCACUAUAUAGAGGGUAAAAUAGAA
rnacentral:lncRNA from 1 species